GACGAACGCUGGCGGCGUGCCUAAUACAUGCAAGUAGAACGGUGAAGGAGUAGCUUGCUUCUCUGGAUGAGUUGCGAACGGGUGAGUAACACGUAGGUAACCUGCCCUGUAUUGUGGGAUAACUAUUGGAAACGAUAGCUAAUACCGCAUAAGAGUAGAUGUUGCAUGGCAUUUGCUUGAAAGUUGCAAUUGCAUCGCUUCCAUAUGGACCUGCGUUGUUUUAGCUUGGUGGUGGGGUAAAGGCUUACCAAGGCGGCGAUACAUAUCGUGCCUGAGAGGGGGGUUGGCCAACAUGGGACUGAGACAAGGCCCAGACUGCCACGGGAAGGCGCCAGAGGGAAACUUUGGCAAUGGGCGGAAGUCUGGCCGAGGAACGCCGCGGGAGUGAAGAAGGUCUUCGGAUUGUAAAGGUCUGUUUUAAGGGAAGAACGAGCGUGAGAGUGGAAAGUCGACACUGUGACGGUACCUGACCAGAAAGCAACGGCUAACUACGUG
rnacentral:rRNA from 1 species